GGGGCAAAAAAUCUGAUCUCUACCUCCACGAGGUGCCUCCCGGACAACUGCUCUAAAGAGCAGGCUAACAGAGACAG
rnacentral:ribozyme from 1 species